rnacentral:rRNA from 1 species
UACGUAGGGUGCGAGCGUUAAUCGGAAUUACUGGGCGUAAAGCGUGCGCAGGCGGUUCGUUAAGGCAGCUGUGAAAGCCCCGGGCUCAACCUGGGAAUUGCGGUUGAAACUGGCGAACUAGAAUCUGGCAGAGGGGGGUGGAAUUCCACGUGUAGCAGUGAAAUGCGUAGAGAUGUGGAGGAACACCAGUGGCGAAGGCGACUCUUUGGCCUGUAACUGACGCUGAGGCGCGAAAGCGUGGGGAGCAAACAGG